ACAGUGCUCCUACGGGGGCAGCAGUGGGGAAUAUUGCACAAUGGGGGAAACCCUGAUGCAGCGACGCCGCGUGAAGGAAGAAGUAUCUCGGUAUGUAAACUUCUAUCAGCAGGGAAGAUAGUGACGGUACCUGACUAAGAAGCCCCGGCUAACUACGUGCC
rnacentral:rRNA from 1 species